AUGUCGAUCAGUGCAUCCUUUAUCUAAGACGUCCUCCGCGAAUACGGGCUGUUACCAGAAAAGCAACGACGAAGAACUUGCACGCUUACGCCGCACUGGAAGAAUGAAGGCUGCUCUUUGCGUGAUAGGCCUGCUCGCAGCAGUUCACCUACCUGGGCUGGCACUAAGUUCCAGAGAGCUUUCUAAAGUUGACGACGUCGUAUCCGCAGAGCAGGGCAUGGAUUCAGAGAAAAGCGAAAUGCGAUUGCGAACAACUACGCAGCCAUCAUGGCUGCCACGGUUCCGUGGAAUACCCAGCCCCGAAGAAAUAGCGAAAACCUACCGACGGAUGAAAGAAGCACUGAGUGACGCCUACGAAUCAUUUCGCCAGCGGAUUGGAGCCAUAUUUCAGUAAAGCAAUUUUACACUCUUGCGGCCAAUAAACGCAUUUUCAAACAUA